rnacentral:rRNA from 1 species
CAGCCGUAAACUAUGCGCGUUAGGUGUACUGGUGACCACGAGUCACCGGGGUGCCGAAGGGAAACCGUGAAACGUGCCGCCUGGGAAGUACGGUCGCAAGGCUGAAACUUAAAGGAAUUGGCGGGGGAGGCACCACAACGGGUGGGAGGCCUGCGGUUUAAUUUGGACUCAACGCCGGAAAUACUCACCGGAUAGGACAGACAUAUGAUAGUCGGGCUGAAGACUCUACUUGAUGAUCUGAGAGGUGGUGCAUGGCGUCAGUGACU